UUCACUUUCCCCAUUCUAUAGUCUUCUCGGCUUCUCCGUUCUUCUUUUCUCCACUCAUUCCCUUUCUCAUUUCCUAAUUUUCCCUUCUCACACAAAAAUUGGUUUUGCUGGAUAGCUCUCAUCAGCUUGCUCUCUUGAUCCGCUGUAUUGAGGUUGCUCCUCCUCACCACAAGCCACCACUGGAGCUGGUGCUGCCACAGGGUGACCAUCGACGGCGGCUGGUUUGGCCCCUCGUACGCCUCCUCCGUCUCCUAGGCUGGUAAAUGGGGCUAGAUUUAUGAUGGCGUAUGUGCAGUGAUUUUGUCACGGAUUUCAUCUCCUGCAGGCCCGGAACCUCUUGGAUCCAGCUUCAGUAUGAGGGAGCUUGAGACAUUUUCUUCCCCAAGCGUGCAAACCAAACGCAUCACCGCUAUUUCUGCGCGAGGCAGCUCAACACAUCAUUCACAUCCUCUACUGCGGCAACAUUCUUCAAUUCGAACUGCAGAAUGGAGCUGUGGCAUUAAGACAGAAACCCACUAUCGAAUUUGAGUUGGUACUUACUUGAGGUGGUCUGAUUGCUCGAUGGAGCCAGCUGGUGUCCGCUGGAGGAAGACAAUGCCAAAGUGCCACUUGUUGGAGGAAGUUGACUUUGAAGUGUCGUUCACGGGAGGAAGAUGAUGUACAAGGUAUAUCAUCUAGUCUAGAGGAAAAUUAACCCUUGAGGCGUAAUUGCUCUGGUUUGGGCAAUCAAAUCUCUGUACAUUACUGUGAGAGUUUGAAGAGAUUGCAUCUCUGAACUUUUUUUUUGUGCCUGUUCUUUUUAUUGUGGGAUGGUCUGACGGCUCAUGGAUGGUCAAACCUGUUGGGAUCAUGAGGUUUCUAUUGUGGGAUGGUCUAAUCGCUCAACCUGUUGGGGUCAUGAGAUUGUAAAUUGUGGGAUGGUCUAGUCGCUCAACCUAUUGGGGCCGUGAGAUUAUAAUUGUGGGAUGUUUUUUUAA